AGUGAAGCGGCAACAGCUCAAAUUUGAAAUCUGGCCCUUGUGGUCCGAGUUGUAAUUUGUAGAGGAUGCUUUUGGUGCGGUGCCUUCCGAGUUCCCUGGAACGGGACGCCAUAGAGGGUGAGAGCCCCGUCUGGUUGGAUACCAAACCUCUGUAAAGCUCCUUCGACGAGUCGAGUAGUUUGGGAAUGCUGCUCUAAAUGGGAGGUAUAUGUCUUCUAAAGCUAAAUAUUGGCCAGAGACCGAUAGCGCACAAGUAGAGUGAUCGAAAGAUGAAAAGCACUUUGAAAAGAGGGUUAAAUAGUACGUGAAAUUGUUGAAAGGGAAGCGUUUGUGACCAGACUUGGGCCCGGUUAAUCAUCCAGCGUUCUCGCUGGUGCACUUGGCCGGCCCAGGCCAGCAUCAGCUUUCCGCGGGGGAUAAAGGCGGUGGGAAUGUAGCUCCUCGGAGUGUUAUAGCCCGCCGCAUAAUACCCUGUGGGGGGCUGAGGUUCGCGCAUCUGCAAGGAUGCUGGCGUAAUGGUCAUCAACGACCCGUCUUGAAACACGGACCAAGGAGUCGUCUUCGUAUGCGAGUGUUCGGGUGUCAAACCCCUACGCGUAAUGAAAGUGAACGCAGGUGAGAGCUUCGGCGCAUCAUCGACCGAUCUUGAUGUUCUCGGAUGGAUUUGAGUAAGAGCAUACGGGGCCGGACCCGAAAGAAGGUGAACUAUGCCUGUAUAGGGUGAAGCCAGAGGAAACUCUGGUGGAGGCUCGCAGCGGUUCUGACGUGCAAAUCGAUCGUCAAAUAUGGGCAUGGGGGCGAAAGACUA
rnacentral:rRNA from 2 species